CCUACGGGGAGCAGCAGUAGGGAAUAUUGCUCAAUGGGGGAAACCCUGAAGCAGCAACGCCGCGUGGAGGAUGAAGGUUUUCGGAUUGUAAACUCCUUUUGUUAGAGAAGAUAAUGACGGUAUCUAACGAAUAAGCACCGGCUAACUCCGUGCCAGCAGCCGCGGUAAUACGGAGGGUGCAAGCGUUACUCGGAAUCACUGGGCGUAAAGGGCGCGUAGGCGGGAUAGCAAGUCAGAUGUGAAAUCCUAUGGCUUAACCAUAGAACUGCAUUUGAAACUGUUAUUCUAGAGUAUGGGAGAGGUAGGUGGAAUUCUUGGUGUAGGGGUAAAAUCCGUAGAGAUCAAGAGGAAUACUCAUUGCGAAGGCGACCUGCUAGAACAUAACUGACGCUGAUGCGCGAAAGCGUGGGGAGCAAACAGGAUUAGAUACCCGGGUAGUC
rnacentral:rRNA from 1 species